UUUCUUUUUUUUUUUUUUUUUUUUUGACAUGCAGAGUGGACAGUGAGAGAGAGAGACAGAGAGGAAGAUCUUCCUUUGCCAUUGGUUCACCCUCCGAUGGCCGCCACGGCUGGUGCUCUGCGGCCGGCACACCGCGCUGAUCCGAAGCCAGGAGCCAGGUGUUACUCCUGGUCUCCCAUGGGGUGCAGGGCCCAAGCACUUGGGCCAUCCUCCACUGCCUUCCUGGGCCACAGCAGAGAGCUGACCUGGAAGAGGGGCAACCGGGACAGAAUCCAGCGCCCCGACUGGGACUAGAACCUGGUGUGCCGGCGCUGCAAGGCGGAGGAUUAGCCUAGUGAGCCAUGGCGCCGGCCGUGUAAGAUAUUUCUAAUUGUUAACAUCUAACUUUUCCUGUGCAGUCACUUCUAUUGCAGCACAAAGUCCCUCUCCAGGCUAAAGUAGAACAAGGUCGCUGUUCAUUCAUUUUGAACCCCUUUGGGCCAGGAAUUCGCCCAGGAUUCUGAACGUUGGCCAUUGGAAGCAGCUCUCAGUAAACCUUAUAGGAGGGGAGCCUCAUGGUCUCACGGGUCCUCUUCUCUCACUUCUCAGGCCCACCUUCCUUUACAGCUGAAAUGUGGUUCCCUGCCAUCCAGAAAUAAAAAGUGUCUUGUGGUCAGCUCUCUGUGUGCUUACAUGCACUGCAUUUUGUCUUUUACUUCAUGCACAGAUGAAACAGAAGGAGCACAGUGAUACACAGAGCGCCAGUCUGGCUCACUUAGAUUCUGUCUGUGGAGUUUCCUUUUCCAUGGAGCUAAUAUUUACUGAGCGCUGAUAUCCCAGGCACCAUAUGGUGUCCUAGGCACCAUUCUAAGCCCUCUCUAUGAAUGGUCUCCUUUAAGACUUGAGGUCACCUUAUUUUGCACCUGUUUUACAGAGGUGUACACUGUUGCUCAGGGAGUUCACAGCUCAACCUAUUCAUACUACCAUCAAGAAGCAGAGCCUCGCUUCGAAGCCAGGCUGUGGGUGCAAACCCCCAGAAGCUUUCAAACCACCAGGCACGCUGCCUCCUGACUCUUUGUUUCUUUGUGCAUUUCUCUAGUUUGGAGGUUCUUCUCCACUUGCCUAUUUAUUUUCCAUAAUUCUUGCUCUCAGGACAGAUAAUUUCCAAGGUCCUUUCGAGUAUUGAAAUUCCAUGACUGAUUAAAGUUGUAAUUUAUGUAGUUUGAUUAAUUUGCUCUAAUGCCCAAGUUCAUUCAUAAUGUUAAUUUCCUUACUGGAGGCUCCAACAGCUUUUUAAUUUACUUACAGAUCUCUGUCUGAUGUUAAAGGAAUCCUGCUGCUUUUUCUGGAAUAACAUUCAAAACCCCAAUUUUAAAAAAUAGAUUGAGUGACCCCUGCUCCUAGCCCCCACUCCCUGGAAGAACAAUAGCAGCAAGCAAACAGGACUUGCCUUCCAGAGACUACACAGUGCCUGCGGUCCGUUUCUCCUAUGCACCUGCUCCUGUGACUGCAGCAUGAGCUAGAACGCUGGGGUUGGAGAGUCGCAACAGGUCUGUGUCAGAAGUGGAGAGACAGCAAGGGGUGUCUUCCAGGGAACUGCUUGGGGACACCUGGCAGUGAGAGGUCCUCCUGUGCACAUGGAAAUCAAGUUCCCAGUUUAUUUAUUUAAAAGAAAGUGAAGAAGACCGAUGUCUCCCAUCUGCCAAUUCACUCCCCAAAGGCCUGCAACAGCCAGAGCUGGGUCUGGUCAAAGGCAGGAGCCAGGACCCUCCAUCUUGGGUCAUCAUCUGCCGCCUCAGGGUGCACAUUAACAGGAAGACAGAUCAGAAGCAGGAAUGGAAAAUCAAUCUGAGUGUCAUUAAGAGAGUAUUCCCUGAAGAAUAUUGCUGGCGACAGCAGAUUUGUCACCCAACUCGACUUUCUUUGACUGAGCGCUUGGAAUUUGUUCCACAGGGGAGGAGAUCCAGUGUGAGCUCACUGUCUGAACCCAGGCCUUUGACCAGCUUGCCAACUUUUCAUUCCAUUGUCUCUCUGUCUUUGGCUGAUCUCAUCACUACACUGAUUAAUUAGUUUCAAACCCCUUCAUAUUGACCUAAUGAAACUGGCUUGUUUAAUUUGUGCCGGGAAAUUUCUGAGAACGUUCCAUUUAGACUCUGAUAAGGGAUUUUUUUAAUGUCCUGUCAGAGACACCCCUCGGGAGAAGGGAGAGGAGGCCGUCCUUCCUGCAGGCUCUUGAAUAACACAGUGCCCACGCCCAUGACUGCAGGAUUCUUCCGGCUGCCAGGCCUCAGUGUUGUGUUUUUUUGUUUGUUUGUUUGUUUGUUUUUGACAGGCAGAGUGGAUAGUGAGAGAGAGAGAAAGGUCUUCGUUUUUGCCGUUGGAUCACCCUCCAAUGGCCGCCACAGCCGGCGCGCUGCGGCCGACGCACCGCACUGAUCUGAUGGCAGGAGCCAGGUACUUAUCCUGGUCUCCCAUGGGGUGCAGGGCCCAAGCACUUGGGCCAUCCUCCACUGCCUUCCCGGGCAACAGCAGAGAGCUGGCCUGGAAGUGGGGCAAGCGGGAAAGAAUCUGGCGCCCCGACCGGGACUAGAACUCGGUGUGCUGGCACCACUAGGUGGAGGAUUAGCCUAGUGAGCCGCAGCGCCAGCCAGUGCUUUUUACAACAAGCAGAUCUGCCUGUUAAAUGGACAUUUCUUCACCUUCCCUCACAGAAGCACAUGAGACCACUGUCUUGCACCUCUAGGGGCUGUCUGCACUGGUUCUGAGCCUCAAACCCUGGCCUGGUGGGGUAGAGCCUGGCCACAGCCAUAGCUACUUUACCAGGUCAGGUCCUCGCUGCUGGAUCAGAAACACCUGCCUGUUUCCAGGACCUGCCUGUUUUGAGACCCCAGGAGAGGGUCUCAAAGUUGAAUGUUUCUUUCCUGUCACAAAGAGAAACAGAAGAGGGUAAUGGUCUAAGUGGCCUUAGAUGGGAGAAGGGGAUUCAGCGAGGAGCUGCCUUCUGGGGCGGGCUGCUCACUGACUGGAAUGAACAUUCUAAUAGCUACUUUCCCAAUCAGCCACCCCCUUGAUGAGCUUGUUUAUGUAACAGGAUCAGACCACUGUCUCCAGCUAAUCUCUACGCGCAUAUCUCCCUCAAGAUAGCUUUCAUACAAGUGUGUAAACAUGCUCUUAGAAUCUUCUUAAAAUUCCCUCAAAGCCCCAGCAACCACCUUCUCCCAGCUGGAGCUGUCCAGGCAGUGGCCCUAGCACCCCCGCCCUGGUAUGCAGCUUCUGGCUCGUCUCAGUCGGGCAAGGCAAGAACCGCAGCCAUAAAGGAGCUCCCUGUGCACUGGGCACAGCCCGGGGAGCUGCAGCACUUGGCUGCUUCAUUUGUCUUCAUUAACGUGGCUUAUCCCGAGGCCUUUGUCACAUAUUAUGAUUAUGUGAGCUCUGAUCCCCCUGGAUGUGCAAACACGGAGCACUAGAAAGGCAUGAGCAGGCAGCACCUGGAGAGAAGCAUGUCUGUGGCUGGGGGCAUGGCUCACACCAUCAGUCCCUGAGGGAUGGGCCGCACUGGGCUACCUGCACCAUUAGCCUCAGGAGCUGAGCCUUGGGGUGAUACGGGGUAGGAAGGUUGCUCCCUUGAUUCCUGGCCCCAGAGCUCGCCUCUCUGUCCCCAGCCACCUCACAGACCAUGUCUUCCUCUAUCCUGCCUCCCCUCUUAGGGGAGUGCCUCACUCACUAGGCCCAUCACCUUCAUGUCAUUUCUCUUGAUCUCUGCCUCCAUCCUCAUCCCGGGGCUGGUCUUCAUCUAAGGCCACCUUCAUCUCGUAGCUGGAUCCCUGCCAUAGCCUCUUGCUUACACUCCCUACCCCCUGUCCGGUUGCCCUCCAUUCUACAUCUGCUGAUGUCGUCCUCUCUCUAAAAUGCCCAUCAAGUUCCUUUUCCAGGUAAAUGGUGAAACUGCUUAGGAUGAUCUGCAAGGCUCUUCAGCACUGGUCUGCACAGCCCUCCCCAGCUGCAGGCCCCUCAUUAGCCUUAUGUGUCCACUGCCACCCCCACAUUUCUCCCUCUUUGGAAGUUACACUCCAUCACAGUGUUCCAAAACACUUCCACCUUGGGCCUAAUGGCAUAGGACUGUUAGAUUAAGCAGUUGCUAAGAUUUAAAUUCUGGGGCCUGUGCUGUGGCACAGCAGACUAAGCCUCCGCCUGCAGUGGCACCAGCAUCCCAUGUGGAGGCCAGUUCAUGUCCCAGAUGCUCCUCUUCUGAUCCAGCUCUCUGCCAAUGGCCUGGGAAAGCAGUGGAGGAUGGCCCAACUGCUUGGGCCCCUGCACCCGCAUGGGAGACCAGGAGGAAGCUCCUGGCUCCUGGCUUUGGAGUGGCUCAGCUCUGGCCAUUGCAGCCAUCUGGGGAGUGAACCAGUGGAUAGAAGACCUCUCUCUCUGUCUCUCCCUUUCUCUGUCUGUAACUCUACCUCCCAAAUAAAUAAAUAAAAUCUUUUUAAAAAAUAAA